rnacentral:rRNA from 1 species
AGAACGAACGCUGGCGGCAUGCCUAACACAUGCAAGUCGAACGAAGCCUUCGGGCUUAGUGGCGCACGGGUGCGUAACGCGUGGGAACCUGCCUUUAGGUUCGGAAUAACUCUCCGAAAGGGGUGCUAAUACCGAAUAAUGUCUUCGGACCAAAGAUUUAUCGCCUUUAGAUGGGCCCGCGUUGGAUUAGCUAGUUGGUGGGGUAAAGGCCUACCAAGGCGACGAUCCAUAGCUGGUCUUAGAGGAUGAUCAGCCACACUGGGACUGAGACACGGCCCAGACUCCUACGGGAGCAGCAGUGGGGAAUAUUGGACAAUGGGCGAAAGCCUGGUCCAGCAAUGCCGCGUGAGUGAUGAAGGCCUUAGGGUGUAAGCUACUUUACAGGAUGAUAAUGAACAGUACUAGGAGAAUAAGCUCCGGACUAACGUCCGUGCC